UCGGGGAGGAUUAAACAGCAGAAAUGGAUUCCGGCUUGUUCCGGAGGCUGGAGACCCCAUCGAGCUUCAUUUGGUGCCUGGUGAGCACCUUCCCCUUAGCAUGCGGAUGGCUGCCUGCUUGAGGCCUCUCACAGGGUCCUUCCCCUGAGCCUGUGCAGACACUGAGAGCUCUGGAGUCUGUUUCUCUUCUGGCGGGAUUUACUGAACUGGAUGCAGUGACCAUGUACCUCUGAUUGUGGAGACACCUGGUCAACAUUCAGACUCCUGAGCCCAGGUUCCUAGAUUCACCAGCCUGAAAUUUCUGGGCAUGGUAUCCAGAAACAUGCAUUUACACAAGUGGCACACUGAGACCUGAAGUCGCUCCACUUAGACCUUCCCGUCACCUGAUGCCAGAUCUCUUAAUGGGGUCCCGGGAUGUUCUUCAUGGAAUGUGAGGCCUCAAGGCAUCUUCGAGUGUGGGAGGCCGCCCGGCCCGAGAGCUAAGCAUCCCCUCUCAGCCUCGAGUAAAGGGGGUGUGGGACCGGCAUCGCACACCAUGCACUGAGCCAGGAAAGUGGCCUUCACCUUGGCUAGGAAGACGUUUGCUCCAGCCCUGGACUUGAGCGUUACCCAGCGGGGGACCGGGCAAAACCCCUUUGAAGCCUUAUCCCCUGCCUCAUGUGGUGUGGAAUAUUCUACUGAACGUCCUCGGUGGUCUCUUCCCUAUAAAUAAAGCGAUUCUGGGUGAA